GCGGGCGGGGUGGGGGCGGCGGCGGCGGCCCCCCUUCCCCGCCUCUCGCGCUCCCUUCCCUCCCCUCAAAAACGACCCCCCCUCAAACCAUCCUUCCCCCCCAAAAUCGCCCCAAAAAUGGGGGCGGUGGGCGUGUGGGGGAUGUUUGGGGAGGGGGCCGCGAGGAGAAGUCCCAUGCGAUGGCCGGGACUCUUCUUCUUCUUCUUCUUUCCCUCACAACUUUUCUUCUUCUUCUUCUUCCUUUGCAAGGUUUCUUCCUCAGACGACGACCUCCCCUCAAAAGAAAAAAAAAUAAAUUUUAAAAAAAUGGGGGGUGAGGGGGAAAAUUAAAAAAAAAAAAUUAGGUGUCUCUCAGUUCUGAGGUGGGGAGUUGAGGAUCAUAUUUUGCCACCCGAGCAAAAAAAAAAAAAAAAGCAACAAAAAUGGCCGCCUCUUAAAUUAUAUUUUUUUUAAAAAGCGAGGCCCCCCCCGCGAGGUUUUAAGAAAAAAAGAUAAAUGGGGUGCCCCCCAUGGAAGAGAGAAAAAAAAAGGAAGAAGGGGGAGGGGAAAAAAAUAUUUACCCAAAAUGGCUGGCUUAAUUUUAACCCCCUCUUCCUUAAAAGCUUCCAAAAAAAAAAAAGAGAGAGAAAGAUGCCCCCCCUUCCUUUCCAAAAAUAAUAAAAAAAAAUGCAAUCAGAAUCAGCUCCAAUUUUUUUUAAAAAAAAGGCAAAAAAAAAAAUUAGCCAAGAAAAGAAAAGAAGAAAAAAAAAGAAAGGAUAAUCAGGAUCAAGGCAGGCUUUUUUUUUUUCCUCUUCCCCUCUUCUUGCUGUGGUGAUAUUUUCUUUUCAAUCGCCCAAGAUCUGUGGUCAUGAACAAUAUUUAGACAUUCCUGGCACUGGGGGGAACCUGACAAGAUUUCUGCAUAAAACAAAGAUGGCUGCUCUAAAUUAUUUCUUUCUUUUUUUUUUCCUCCUCUCCUUAGGCUCUCCCCCCCCACCUCCCUCAAUAAAAAUAUUUUUUACUGGGAGGGGGAAGAGAGAGAGAGAAAAGGUUGGAUUAAUCAGUACUCAUGCUCAGUUAUGACAUCAGCAUAAAAUUGUUAAAGGUUAACUAGUUCCAUACUAGUCAGACCCACGACUUUGGUGUGUGCUUAUGGUUGCUUUACUAGCACAAGAGGGGGGGGAGAAUAGGGGUGUUUUAUUUCCUCCCCCCCUUUUUUCUCUCUCUCUCUCUAACUUUAAAUACUUCAGAAGGGAGUGGCUUAUUUUUCUCCUUUUCCUCUAGGGCAAGAAAGGAAGAAGAGAAGGAGAAAAAAAACCCUCCCUGAUUACUGCAAUUCAUUAAAAGAUUUUUUUUUUUUUGGUCCACAUUCACAAAGGAGAUUUUAUUGCUUUCCCAGAUGAGAUUCUUUUGAUACAGGCAGGCAGACACAAAUAUGCAUGCAUAUGAUUUUGGCCAGGUUUUGCAUUUAAAAGAAGCUAUAUUAGAUUUAAUAAAAUAUGAAAGCUAGGUUCUGGCUACUCUUAAGUGUGUUAGAUUUGCCCCACAGGAAUAAAUUAUAAGGCAUAAUUAAAUUAAUGUGAUAGAAUACUACAAAGUGUUUUUUUUUCGCCAUCACCAAACUGACAGGAAUUUGGGGGUGAUCAUGACACAAUCCAGUAGGGAGAUCGAUGCACUUAAAUUAUUGCGUGUGACCUCAAGAGAGUCUAAAAUUAAGCUAUGUACUUUUGCCUCUGAGGUAAGGUUUCCCCACCCCAAAAAAGCACCUUGUUUCUGAUGCAUUCCUUGUUAGGACUGUUUUGUAAUAUUGUUCCAUUAUGGCUGAAAACCGUUUGCCCUAUUUUUAUAGCAGGGGAAAGAACUAAAACCCAUACAAUUAAAAUAGAGAGAAAAUGAAUUAACAAUAGGAACAAAGCAUCAUUGUUACUGUCGAUAGACGUAUGCUUGAGUUUAAAACGCCUUUUACAUCUUUCUCUUUACCUGCUAACAGACACAUCUAUGAUAAGAAUCUACCCGCCAACCUACCAAGAAACUUGUAAAGGGCCUACAUCUCUUCCUGUCUGGCUCUUAGAUUGUAGCGAAUGGAAAGUCUCCUGCAUAUCUGAGAAUUACAGAAUCAGAUUUGCCCUGGGCCACUGCAUAUAACUUUUGUCGCAGGGCCCCUUCUCCAAGCCUCUCUGGUUCUUGGACUCCAACUAGAAAAAGAAAAUAUUCCGAACCCUGAAGGGCUCGAUGCUGGAUAGAGAUCUUACAGAACAAUCGUCUACAAGCACAAUGUUCCUUCACUCAGGGUAAUCCCAUUUAAAAUGUGGCUGUCCCUCCACGGAAAUUCCCCGCCUCGUGGGACCGUGCAUCUGAGCCUUGGAUCUCAAGAGCUCCUCGAGGCCUCUCUCCGAUGACCAUCCUCUAAGCCAGGGAUGGGCAAGUAUGGCCCUUUGCCAACCUAGCUGCCUCCCUCAGGAAUUCUGGGAGUUGAGGUCCACAGGUCGUAAAGGGGCUGCAGUGGCCCACCCUAACCUCUGGAACAGCAGAAGCACCCAGACACGUCUUUCAAGAGCCGCUGUUUUAAAACACGAGAGCGCCGAUAGAGACAACCCAAGCCACAGAAUGCCUUCCUUAACAGAAGCUGCAUCUCGGGAUCACUAUGGGCUAGAAACCCUUCUAGUGCGGUUGUUUUAACCUCUAUUUUAGAUGCAGAAUUAUCACAGGUAGUCCUUGACUUAAGUGAUCAUUUGAGGUUACGACAAUACUGAAAAUAGCGACCAUUAUGACCCUUUUAAAGACUUAAUGACUCUUGCAGCAUCCCCAUGGUCACUUUGAGCAAAAUUCGAAUGCUCGGCAACUGACUCAUAUUUAUGAUGGCUGCAGUGUCCUGGGGACAAGCGAGUACCUUUUGCAACCUUCUGACAAGCAAAGUCCACGGGGGAGCCGGAUGCACUUAUCAUGUUCCUAUUUUUAACAAGUGCAGUGAUUCACUUAACAACAGUGGCCAGGAAAGUCGUGACAUGGGGCAAAACUUAUUAACUGUCUUGUUUGGUGAGAUCAAUUUUGGACUCCAUUGUAUUUGUAUGUAUGUAUGUAUAUAUAUUUAUAUAUAUUUAUAUUUAUAUAUAUAUAUUUAAGGAAACACUUUGGACUUUUUAAAAUGAAGAUUUAAAUGAUGUCUGACAUACUGGAGCUGUGAACCCUGGAAACUGAUCAUAAAAAGCACCACACAAUCUAUAAUGCUUGAUGGCAGAAACGGAUGAUUUACGAACGCUAAAAGGAAGAAUCAUUGGUUUCCAUGCCCCUACCUCCAGAGGAAAUGGACGUGGGAAACACCUAGCUUUUCCACAAGCGCACCUGAAACCCCCAAGUUUUUUGUUUUAUCUUUCAACUGGUUGCAUUUUAUGUUUUUUUUUAAAAAAACAAUUUCUUUAUGUCUUUUAAAGUUUUGAUUGGAAGCUGCCCAGGGCUGGCUGAAAAAUGGGCAGCUCUGUAAAUAUUUUAAAUAAAUAAAUAAAUGUAAAAUAUUUUUUCUGUACUCGGGCAUACGGCCUCACCUAAGUGAUUUUGUCUUGAUUUCCAAACUAAACAAACUAGGUUAAUAUGGGAUAGAAGACCACCAGGAAAUACACAGACAUCCCAGAAGAAAACAAUGACAAACCACUCGGGUACCAGCGCCAAAGACCUCUCUAUGCGUCCAUGUUCCCAAAUACGCCAACGACCAAGUUUGACUCGGAUGCAACUUUGCCGUUAAACGUAUUUUCUUUGGAAAUAACCAGUUUAUGACAAGUUUUGGCUGCAAUCAAUCCUGAAGAGAGUUCCUACAAAAUCACCCUUGUUAAACAGAUUGCAGCAGGCUUACUUCUGAGAAAAUAAGCACCCAGAGGAUAUUUGAUACCGAUAGUCACAUAUUUUUUUGCCCCUUAACAUCAGAAGUUACGCAAUAAAAAGAUUUAUUGAUUUAUUAAA